rnacentral:rRNA from 1 species
UACGAAGGUCCCGAGCGUUGUUCGGAAUCACUGGGCGUAAAGGGAGCGUAGGCGGCGCGGUAAGUCAGAUGUGAAAUCCCGGGGCUCAACCCCGGAACUGCAUCCGAUACUGCCGUGCUAGAGGAUUGGAGAGGUAGCUGGAAUUCUUGGUGUAGCAGUGAAAUGCGUGGAUAUCAAGAGGAACACUCGUGGCGAAAGCGAGCUACUGGACAACUCCUGACGCUGAGGCUCGAAGGCCAGGGUAGCGAAAAGGG